rnacentral:lncRNA from 1 species
UUGUACACAAGAAGACAUGAAAAGAAGUCUGCUAGGAAUCCUUGCAGACUAAAAGGAGAUACAUGAGAGAGACUUUCUUUCUGUCUCUGGACAUUGUCAUCUGUCUGGAGUACCUAGAACUGGAGCAGUCUUCAUAGAAUCAUGAGAGUAACAAUUCCCUGGAGUGUUGCAUUGAGAAGAUUCUGAGGCCAUGGUCUACUAUCUGUGACUGCCAUGGAAUCCU